UGGGGCUGGUCACAGUGACCCAAGGCCAUGGAGCUGGUCACAGUGACCCAAGGCCGUGGAGCUGGUCACAGUGACCCAAGGCCGUGGAGCUGGUCACAGUGACCCAAGGCCGUGGAGCUGGUCACAGUGACCCAAGGCCGUGGAGCUGGUCACAGUGACCCAAGGUCGUGGAGCUGGUCACAGUGACCCAAGGCCGUGGAGCUGGUCACAGUGACCCAAGGCCGUGGAGCUGGUCACAGUGACCCAAGGCCGUGGAGCUGGUCACAGUGAAAUCUAUACUGUGAGCGACAAAUUAUGUCACUGUAACAAUGAAUGGUCAGUGAAGACGUUUUGCCAACCAGUGGCUUUAUCAGUGCAAUUCUGAGAUGUUCGAAAGAAUGUCGAAAACAUAAUGGAUGCAGGGAAAAAUCCAAAGAGUGGAACUAUCAUCAAUUGCUCCAAACUUAGCAGACCUUUGUACUGAAAUGCAGGCCCAUCCAUCUCACUGGCAGGUUAUGAAGCACCCAAAGGCUGAAGGAAGCUAUUAGUAAAAGGGAGUAGCAUGACAGAGAAGGUAGAAGGCCAAAUGCUGCUCGGUUACUUGGGGUACCACUCUGAGGACUGCUGGAUGUACAUGUCUCUGGGCCAGCCUGGGCAUGAAGAAGACGAGCUUUAAUGUAUUUAGUGCAUGGUGCAAAAGUAAUCGUCUUGCCAACAAGACCCUUCUGCCCCAGGGUGCUGCUAGGGCAACCUCUAAAGAGGUGUGGGCUUUACUUCCCAAGUAGGCCAUCCCAACCCAAUGGAUGGGUGCAGGAACAGAGCUACCUCACUUUACCGACCUAGCAUCUGUGACCUGCCUACCCAGAAUAAUGAAGGCAGACAUCAAUCAGUUUCCCUAAAUAAUAAAUUCUGAGAAGGUCUACAAUGAAUGUAGGGAUUAAAAAAAAUGGAGGGGGAGGAGCAAGAAGAGAGCAUCCUGGUGCUUAAAGAAAAAAUGAAUUCUACAUCCACUUGAUCAAUUAUGCAAUUAAUCGAAAGGUUUUCUAUUGUUAAAACCUGACAAGCUGCACAGUGAGGGGUACCAGGUGUUUCUCCAUUUCACAGCUAUGUGCAAGUCAACUUAAUAUCUACUCACAGCAACGCUUUUGCAAAGUAUAAUGGGCAGUAAAUCACUUGUUAAAAAGGUCAUAAAUUACCUCUGUGCUUGUACAAAUCAGUGCAACAGUGUUUGCAUUGACAAAGCUGAAACCCCUUGACCCUCAAUCAAACCUUUGCCUAUUCUACCAAAUCCAGGUUUGCAAUGGGUAAAGGCAAGAAACCCACAUUAAAUAAAAACUUAUUGUAAAGUCGACUAGACAAAGAAAAGAUAGUGUAAAAAACACCCUACUUGAGGACACACAAGAUUUAUUAUACCUGGAGGAGGUUUCAGGGGUCAUUGCCUCUGCAGCCUGGUCUGUGACCAAGCCCCAUGAUGGACCAGGGCCUGAUCAGCCAGGCUGUUACUGUUGGCCACAUAUAAACUGAUGUAUGAACCACAGCCCAGCUGGUCAUGUACUGACUUCAUGUGCCUGUCCAGUGCCUUCACAAAAAAAUGCUGAAAACCCACAAACCACGAAAUGCAAAGCUAGGCUAAAUGCUCUCAAAGCUGUUGCUGGCUACAAUCCCAACUAUGGUGCUAAUGUGAGAAUCGUGAGAAUGAUGUACAUAGCCUAUGUUAGGUCCUUAAUUGAUUAUGCUGCUCCCAUGUUGAUAUUAGCUAGAGAAAGUUCUCUCCGACCCUUGGAGUUAAUGCAAAAUGAAGCUCUCAGGAUUAUUCUUGGCUGUCCCAGAUCUACAAAAGUUCUUAACAUGAGGAAGGAGCUUGGUAUUUCUAGUAUCAGUGAUAGGAUUGUUCAGAUUAACACUGUACUCAGUAUUAGAAUGUUGAGAAACAAACCAGACAUUGUCACAAUGAAUCUUACCAAGUGUCUAGAGGUAAAUACACACAGAUCUAAAUGGAUUGUGAAAACGUGCAAUUGCAUUAAGUUUUAUAACCUGCAUGAACUGUAUCACUGUAGGCAACAAGAGCAUUUCACCCCUCCGUGGAAAGAUGUGUUCAUUUAAUAUCACAUACCUACAAGUCCCUCCCAAGGAGCUCAUUGCUAGUAAUCCCUUCCUUAAAUCUCUUGUUAGAGCAACUGCUCAAGAAGAAAUUUCUCACCUAGCUGGUAGUAAUAAGUUAUCACAAGUUAUAUACACUGAUGGAUCUAAACAGUUUUCUGGCAGGGCUGCAUCUACUCGUUGCCACCUCCCUAGUUAAGAACGAUAAUAAAUUUGAGUUAGGCAUAAGAAUUAACAACUGGGCGUCUACACUGCAAACUGAAUUGUUUGCAAUCCUAAUGGCGCUAAAGCUAACCUACGACACUGAGCUUGACUAUCAUUACUGAUUCUAUGUCAUCAUUGAAGGCUCUUGACUCAUAUAAUGACUCCAACAACAUGCUCAUUGGAGAAGCCAGGUAUAGAUACUCAAAAAUUAGGGACAAAGGAAUUAAUGUACAAUUGCUAUGGAUCCCAUCACACAUUGGAUUACUCCUUCAUGAUAAAGUUGAUAUGUUAGCCAAGAAGAGUACCCAGAAGGAGAAUGUAGAAUAUAACUUUGGUAUAACUGUGUUUAGCAUUAGGAAUAAUAUUAGGAGAGAAACAAAUAAUGAAAAUGAUUGUUAUAGGAAUGCAGUUAGAAGCCUGAGUAGAUCUAUAACCCACUAUGAUAACAUGAAUGUAGAUAAGUAUGUUUAUGGAGCAACUUGCAAUGUGAACAGACUGACUGAUGUUGUAGUGGCCAGGCUUAGGCUUGGUUACAAGUACUUCUGGCAGUUUGGGAGACACACAGAUGAUGAUC